rnacentral:rRNA from 1 species
UGGGGAAUCUUCCGCAAUGGGCGCAAGCCUGACGGAGCAAUGCCGCGUGAACGAAGAAGGUCUUCGGAUUGUAAAGUUCUGUCCUUAUCGAAGAGAGGGUAUAGAGUGAAAAAUGAUAUACUAGGACGGUAGAUGAGGAGGAAGCCCCGGCUAACUACGUGCCAGCAGCCGCGGUAAUACGUAGGGGGCGAGCGUUGUCCGGAAUCACUGGGCGUAAAGGGCGCGUAGGCGGUAAUAUAAGUCAGAUGUGAAAGGUGGGGGCUCAACCCCUAGAGUGCAACUGAUACUGUAUAACUUGAGUGUGAGAGAGGGAAGCGGAAUUCCUAGUGUAGCGGUGAAAUGCGUAGAUAUUAGGAGGAACACCAGUGGCGAAGGCGGCUUUCUGGCUCAUAACUGACGCUGAGGCGCGAAAGCGUGGGGAGCAAACA